ACCAGCUGUCCAGUGUUGGUGAGUCUGUGUCCACUGCAUCCACAGGUUUCUAUUCUUUGUGACAGGAAGUGAAACCUGAUGUUGUCUUCUGCUGUUGUAGGUAGGACGUGUUGUUCACUCUGAAGCGUCUCUGCUCAGCACAGUUGUAAAGAGUGGUUAUCUGAGUGACUGUUGUCUUUCUGUCCAUUCCCUGCUGACCUCUUUCAUCAACACAGAGCUGCUGCUCACUGGAUGCUUUGUUGUUGCUCCAAUCUGAGUAAAAUCUCCUCGUUUGCGCAGUUUGCGCUAUUCGUGCGCAGUGAUGGCACGCGUUGGUAUUCGCGCACUGACGCGUGCGCAGUCCGUACCGAGUAAUUCGGCGCUGAAAAGAAGCCUAGUUUAGCAGGGAUACAACUAAAGCACUGCUAGCUGGGCAGCUGCAGAAUUAACGAAACCAGCGUCUACUUGGUUCUUUACUUUCGACCAUCGUGGCACAGAGCAGAGUUUGAAGAUGGCUGAUAAAGAGGUGUAUGACGAUGCAGUGGAGGAGCGGGUCAUCAAUGAAGAGUACAAGAUCUGGAAGAAAAACACACCUUUCCUGUAUGACCUAGUGAUGACUCAUGCACUAGAGUGGCCCAGCCUGACUGUCCAGUGGCUUCCAGAUGUCCGCAGGCCAGAGGGGAAGGACUAUGCUGUUCACAGGCUGGUUCUAGGGACCCAUACAUCAGAUGAGCAGAACCACCUUGUGAUUGCCAGUGUCCAGGUACCGAAUGAUGAUGCCCAGUUUGAUGCCUCACACUAUGACAGUGAGAAAGGAGCAGAGUUUGGUGGAUUCGGUUCAGUAAGCGGGAAAAUAGAGAUCGAGAUCAAGAUAAACCAUGAGGGGGAGGUGAACCGAGCCCGUUACAUGCCCCAGAAUCCCUUCAUCAUUGCCACCAAGACUCCCACAUCUGACGUGCUGGUCUUUGACUACACUAAGCACCCGCCUAAGCCAGAUCCGAGUGGGGAGUGUAGUCCUGACCUGAGGCUCAAAGGUCACCAGAAAGAAGGAUAUGGUCUUUCCUGGAAUCCCAACCUCAGCGGGAACCUCCUCAGUGCCUCCGAUGACCAUACCAUCUGUUUAUGGGACAUUGGGAGCGGCCCAAAGGAAGGGAAGAUCGUGGAUGCCAAGACCAUCUUCACUGGCCACACAGCAGUGGUGGAGGAUGUUUCCUGGCAUUUGCUCCAUGAAUCCCUGUUUGGCUCAGUGGCCGACGACCAGAAACUCAUGAUAUGGGACACUCGUUCCAACAACACAUCCAAAGCCAGCCACUCGGUGGAUGCUCACACUGCUGAGGUCAAUUGUCUGAGCUUCAACCCCUACAGCGAGUUCAUUCUGGCCACUGGUUCUGCUGAUAAGACUGUUGCAUUGUGGGAUCUAAGAAACCUGAAACUGAAGCUCCACUCUUUUGAGUCCCAUAAAGAUGAAAUUUUCCAGGUACAAUGGUCUCCUCACAAUGAGACGAUCCUGGCCUCGAGCGGCACUGACCGACGUCUCAACGUCUGGGAUCUCAGUAAAAUUGGGGAGGAGCAGUCAGCAGAGGAUGCUGAGGAUGGCCCUCCAGAGUUGCUGUUCAUCCACGGAGGCCACACAGCCAAGAUCUCUGACUUCUCCUGGAACCCCAAUGAGCCCUGGAUCAUCUGCUCAGUGUCCGAGGACAACAUCAUGCAAGUCUGGCAGAUGGUGAAUACAGCUGAUUGAUUGAUUCUGAUCAGUUCCUCCACAGGCAAUAUCAACCCCAAGUAGAACAUCCAUCAGUGAUGAGGGCGGAAAACAUCUACAAUGAUGAAGAGCCAGACAACACCCCCGCAUCAGAGCUGGAGGCGCAGGGAUCUUAACCCAGCUCUGCAUGAAACCCUGUCCAGGUUCAACCCCUCCUCCACCCCCUGAGCUUCAGACCUUCACCUCCCUUUCUGGCUUAACUCGAGUGCAAAAUGAAGAAUUUGCCUCUACAUGGAUGAACAGUGUGGAGGGUCAGAGACAGCAUGGACUCCACUCUUGCUAACAGACAGUUGGACUCAGUCUUAUCUUGCUCAGACAUCCCUGUGGCCCAGGUACCAACAGCACGUACGCACUCAUUACAAGAUUUGAGAUGUGCUCAGGUCGUUUCUCCAGUGUUUGGAGAAUUUCAAAGGAGCAGAAAAACUUAAAAGUACACAAAGCUACUAAGACCAGUUCAUCUGUUCAUUUCAAAGGGAUCAUGUGAGGAAAAUAAAGUGGUAUUUUACCAUUUGACUCGAGUCACCAGGAAACCACUGAGAAGGACAACAGAAGACACCUGACCUCCAUCCCUCUGAACUGUGACAGUGAAUCUAACCAUGCUGGUCAUGUCUAUAAGCUUUCUUUCACACCUGUCGUUUUUGUUCUGAUUGCACAUUUAGCGACAUAUCACUGCUGUCCUCUGAAGAAACAUUCCCUGUUGUAUUUUCCUCCUGUUCAUUAAGUCUUCAGUAUUCGGCUGGAGUGAAAGUGUGGGACUAAAUUAAUGCACUUGAGGGAACACCUCUUUUCCUCUUCCUGUUACGUAAUGCAAAAUUACAAUAAAACUUUUGUAACUUUUCAAAAAUACGUUUAUAUAAAAUUGAGGAAUGCUGCACAUGCAAUCGACACCUCCUGUCCACUUCACUCACACCAGACCCAGUAAUAAAUCCAUAGUGAAUAGAAACUGCAAAUUCUACAAAAUAUUUAUUGAAAAGAAAGACAGGUACAAUCAGGGGGUGUGGGCUUCUUUUAGUAAAAAUAAAGCUCUCUGAAGCGA